rnacentral:rRNA from 1 species
UGGGGAAUAUUGGACAAUGGGCGAAAGCCUGAUCCAGCCAUGCCGCGUGUGUGAAGAAGGUCUUCGGAUCGUAAAGCACUUUAAGUUGGGCGGAAGGGCAGUAAGCGAAUACCUUGCUGUUUUGACGUUACCGACAGAAUAAGCACCGGCUAACUCUGUGCCAGCAGCCGCGGUAAUACAGAGGGUGCAAGCGUUAAUCGGAAUUACUGGGCGUAAAGCGCGCGUAGGUGGUUCGUUAAGUUGAAUGUGAAAGCCCCGGGCUCAACCUGGGAACUGCAUCCAAAACUGGCGGGCUAGAGUAGGGCAGGGGGUGGUGGAAUUUCCUGUGUAGCGGUGAAAUGCGUAGAUAUAGGAAGGAACACCAGUAGCGAAGGCGACCACCUGGGCUCAUACUGACACUGAGGUGCGAAAGCGUGGGGGGCAAACAGG